rnacentral:lncRNA from 1 species
GCCGCCCAAUGGCGAGGCAGCGCGAGGCUUCCCGGAAGUGGUGGCGCGGUCAGGGCUGGCCUUGGCUUCAGCUGCGGUUUUGGGGUUCAGGACGCUGGGAUCGGCGGCGCUAUGAGUUCUUUCGAGGGGCAGAUGGCCGAGUAUCCAACUAUCUCCAUAGACCGCUUCGACAGGGAGAACCUGAGGGCCCGCCCCUACUUCCUGUCCCACUGCCACAAAGGUCACAUGAAAGGAUUAAGAGCCCCUACCUUGAAAAGAAGGUUGGAGUGCAGCUUGGAGGUUUAUCUAUACUGUUCACCUGUGACUAAGGAGUUGUUGUUAACGAGCCGGAAAUACAGAUUUUGGAAGAAACAAAUUGGGAUUUGUCCUCCCUCUGCAGAGCAGUCACAACAGCAGGGUUGUUCCUGUUGUCUCUGGCAUUCAGCUUGAAGUUACUACAGGUCAGCCCGGCCAGCAGUCAGGAAGAAAAGCUGGAAGAGAAGUGGAGGGGAACAGAGACAAACUGGAAGGCAGAAUGGCCCACUAGAGGCCAGCAGGACAGACUGAAACCCACUUCUGUCUCUCACUUCCUCUGGCCUCAAUAGUGCUGGUCUCCCACUUUGGCUCUGAAGCACAUGCACCUGCCCCAGGACUCGGAGGAGCUGCACACAGGCACCCAGCAGAAGCUGAUGUUGCUGUGGCCCUGCCCCAGACUCUGAGUUAAGCCAGAAGGUCAACAAUGUUCACGAGCUGUUAUCAUUUCUGGCGCCCUUCAGAGCAUUAAAAAAAC